rnacentral:misc_RNA from 1 species
GAUCAUUAAAGAAAAAUGUUAAUGGGGGUGGUACUGUGAGAGGCGUGUCUCUGGAACAAUUGAGGAUGGAUGAGUCUGAGCCUGCGCUUAAGUGCGCGGCCUGGGUUUUGUCUGUGCGAGGUGUUCUACUUUCAAGGAGCAUGUUUUCGAGCGUACCGUUUUUCCACAACACUACACACAGUGGAGUAAUCUAUUGUUCUUUCUAUUUUUCUUUGGGGGACGGUAAGUCUCCCGGGAGAAGCAAACACAAACAAUUAUUUUUAUAUUUACAAAAUUUGUCAGAACUUAAUUUCUCUUUUGAGAAAAUAACUUCAAAACUUUCAACAAUGGAUCUCUUGGUUCUCGCAUCGAUGAAGAACGCAGCGAAAUGCGAUACGUAAUGUGAAUUGCAGAAUUCCGUGAAUCAUCGAAUCUUUGAACGCACAUUGCGCCCUCUGGUAUUCCAGGGGGCAUGCCUGUUUGAGCGUCAUUUCCUUCUCAAACACCUGUGUUUGGUAGUGAGUGAUACUCUUAUUGAGUUAGCUUGAAAUUGUUGGCCAUAUAGUGGGGACAUUUGGAGUCUUGCUUUGUGGGUCUUAUUUUUCAUUGGGAGUUUCGCAAUGGAAAUAUCGUAUUAGGUUUUACCAACUUCGGUAUUUUUUUGUUGUGGGAUGCUAAUUCCUUUGGAUAGAGAUCUGUGUAUGGCGAAUCCAAUCUUGUCAGCACGGCAAACAGAAACCUUUAAGUUGAC